rnacentral:rRNA from 1 species
GAUGAACGCUGGCGGCGUGCCUAAUACAUGCAAGUCGAGCGAACAGAUCAGGAGCUUGCUCCUUUGACGUUAGCGGCGGACGGGUGAGUAACACGUGUGUAACCUACCUAUAAUACUGGGAUCACUUCGGGAAAGCGGCGCUAAUCCCGGAUAAUAUUUCGCACCGCAGGGGUCGAUGGUGAGAGAUGGUUUUGCUGUCACUUAUAGAUGGUCCCGGGCCGUAUUGGCUAGUUGUGACGGUCCCGGCUUACCAAGGCGACUAUACGUAGCCGACGUGAGAGAGGGAUCGGCCACACUGGAAGGGAGACAGGCUCCAGAGUCCUGCGGUAGGCAGCAGUAGGGAACGGUCCGCAGUGGGCGAAAGCCUUACGGAGCAAGGCCGCGUGAGAGAUGAAGGUCUUCGGAUCGUAAAGCCCGGUUAUUAGGUAAGAACAGACGUGUAAGGAGCUGUGGAGGUCUUGACGGUAACUAAUCAGAAAGCAACGGCUAACUACGUG